AAACUUUCAACAACGGAUCUCUUGGUUCUGGCAUCGAUGAAGAACGCAGCGAAAUGCGAUAAGUAAUGUGAAUUGCANAAUUCAGUGAAUCAUCGAAUCUUUGAACGCACAUUGCGCCCGCCAGUAUUCUGGCGGGCAUGCCUGUCCGAGCGUCAUUU
rnacentral:rRNA from 1 species